rnacentral:lncRNA from 1 species
UUGUUAACCAGAACACCGCUGUAAGAGACCUUGAAUCUUUUUGUUCCCAGGACUUUCUGAAUUUUCAGCCCGUAUGACAUGGAAGAAGAGUUAGAAGGGGAAUCUGACUGCUUGGAUCAGGGACUGUCUGGCUGGUGGAACUUGAAUGUAUACAACACUCUUCAUUUGCAUGUUUUGACAUUUUAAAAAAUGUUUUCACUUUUCUUAUCUACUUUGACUCUAAUAACAUCCUGAAAGUGCUGUUGUCCUCUUUCUGGACCUUAGAGAUGUACAGUGCACCACUCUGAGGAUCAAGUCUGACCCUGCCUUUAAAUUUGGAUUCAAAGUACUUAGAUUUUCUGGAAUCCCAUUCUACAAUCUUCUGGUCGAAAGUAUAAAACCAGGUUAGUUGUUUGUAGUUCUCAGGCAGGCUCUCAGAGAUGUUCAGAGUCACGUUGCUGCCGGAGACCACGGUCAUAUGUACCAAGUGACCUGCCAAUGAG